rnacentral:rRNA from 1 species
UACGAAGGGGGCUAGCGUUGCUCGGAAUCACUGGGCGUAAAGGGUGCGUAGGCGGGUCUUUAAGUCAGGGGUGAAAUCCUGGAGCUCAACUCCAGAACUGCCUUUGAUACUGAGGAUCUUGAGUUCGGGAGAGGUGAGUGGAACUGCGAGUGUAGAGGUGAAAUUCGUAGAUAUUCGCAAGAACACCAGUGGCGAAGGCGGCUCACUAGCCCGAUACUGACGCUGAGGCACGAAAGCGUGGGGAGCAAACAGG